UCGAUUGUAGUCGAAAGUAUUCUCAUACUCUCACCGACAACAUAUGUUCAGUCGUUGAUUGAGCGUCUCCUUGACGAGAAGCAGUGCUGGACAAAUAGUGUAUCCUAAGUCGAAAUUUGUCGAUUCCAAGAUCGACGUGACAAUCUCGGCAAACUGCAUGACCUAUAGAAAAAGUCGAUUCAGUGCGCGUACUUCCGGUUGCAAUCAUGGCAGCAACAACAAUUUCCAAGUGGAUGAUAAUAGCAUUACUCCUGGUGGCACUUACUGAACGUUCAUCAGCCUAUCCUGCGGAGGCGGACUCGUUGGUUAUUGAGUCUACUACGUUUGCUGUUGGAACUAGAGCAUUACUUCGAGUAAAAUCCUUUUGCCCUUAUGGUGAGAAAAAUGGCAUAUGUCGAACGCCUCGCCCUAAAACUAAAAAUGAAGGAAUGCCACUGUGAAUUAAGGGAUCACUACCUAAUGAACUGCGAAACGGCUACCCCCAAAAACGACUUUAUUAGAUAUUCCCGUAUCGUAACCCGUAAAAACUAAAAGUACCACACAAUGCUUUAAACAUCGCUACAGUUGUAUUUAUAUCAAAAAUUUGCGAAAUAUCAUUGAAUUCAUUUCCAAAACUUUUUUGUUUGUGGUCCCAACAUUCAAAAUAUGUAAAAAUAUUGAAAAGGCAAUGUAUUCUGAAUAGUUUAAAAUCAAUUUUACCAGUUACCUAAUUAUUAAGAAAACAAAUCUAAGAAGAAAUAAAAUUUGCAAUCCUUACUGGGAGUCAAAAUACGAUGACGGUUGUGACGUCAAAAGUGUUUGAAAACAGUGAGGUCCACGAAAAAAAAAACGAAACUAUUGGCACUACGCCCCCCGGGGCAUGGCCUUCCUCUAACGUGGGAUUUCUGCUCCAGCGCCUCUGACGAGACAGGAGAAACCGGGACCGACGUUUUACUUCACCAUCCGAUAGAAGCUCAGUGGAUAAGGCGGGAAUCGAACCCGCGUCUCAUAGCAUCAUCGGGAUCGGCAGCCGAAGCCGCUACCCCUGCGCCACGAGACACACAGGUCCACGUAAUAGACAAAUAUCACCCGGCUUGGAAAUUAUACAAAAGCUUCAACUAAAAAUCAGCUCAAAACAGGAACAACAAUCUCAAAGGGCUAAGAAAAAUUAAUCAUAAAUUGUGUUUUCUCCAAUC